GUUUGACAUAGUGUACCACUGCAGACUUUUAACGAGGUUCCUAGCAUACGGAAUGGGUUCGCAGAUACUCGAGUAGCUCGAAGUAAUAGAAGCUUUAUAUACAGUCACUACCUUGGUUAUACGUUCUUCUGGGAAUGAAUGCAGAAGAAACAUCGGUAGUAUCAUCAGUAAAUGGCAACAGUGGCUGGCAGUCACGUUGCGACGAACAACGCGGAGUCCGUCACGUGCAACCGAACCGCCUGUGAGCGCUGCGGACUGCCACGGCCACCUGUCCGGCUGUCUGCGGGCUUAACCGGGCUCGCCACCUGCGCCCGGCGGCUGCCAGGGGCCGGGAUGCUGCCUUUGAGCGCCGCGUCUGGGCGCACGCUGUUCCCCGCGGCACACCAGUGUCGGAAGGGUAGCCGACUGCGCAGGCGGCAGCAAGAGCAGCGACACAGUUUGCUUCGCGCUGCGGCUUUUUUCGGACGAGGAAUUGGAAAUAAACGCUGUUGAUUUCGGUUUCCCAGUCGUUAUUUAAACAUCGUUAUGUUAAAAGAUAAAUUUACA